rnacentral:lncRNA from 1 species
CUCCCCCUGCAGUCUUGACAAAUCUCAGCUCAUCCUCAGCUGCCUUUCUAACAUCCUUAGCGGCUCUCACCUGAGCUUUGGCCAUCCAAAGCUCCAAGUCAAGGAUAGAAAUAUCAUGCGCUAGCUGUAUGAAAGAACAAAAGUCAGAAAGGCAUGAUCAAAAGAUCGGAAUAAGCAUGAGAGUCAGUGACUCACCUUGAGAAGACCUGCAUAAGAGGUCCCUACAAUCUUGUUUGAGGGGCAAGACCUCCUCUCCAACCGGUCGAUCGGCAUCAGAAUCGAUUACAUCGACUUUCGGGCAACUUGUUGAUCUUGAAGUGCGGAGGCAUUCCUCCGCACUGACUC